GCUCCUGGUACAAGCCAGACAAAAUGGAAGAAUAUAAGAGACUGUUUUGUAAAGGAAUAUAAUUUAGUUAAUUCUUACAUCCCAAGUGGCAGUGCAGCUAAAAAAAAGGAAAGUACUUGGUCCUUUUAUGAAAGUUUACGUUUCCUAGAACCAACAGUAAAUUAUAGAAGAACCAUAAGCAAUAUUGAAAAUGUGGUUCCAUCAUCAUCAUCAUCCUCAGUGGAACAAUCCUUUUCUGCUUCCAGAGCAAAUUAUGCAAAAAAAGACGAUAAUUUAUAUCAGCCACAAAUAUCACAGAAAAGAACUUUAUUAAGGUCACCGUUGAAUCCAAAGCAAAAUUAUUAAAAAGCAAGAACGCUUGAAAAAAAAGAUGAAAAUUAUUCUUAUUGUGAAGAAGCUAUUUUGAGAGAAUUGGAACGUACAAAACCAACAAAUCAAUCUCACGCAAAGCCUGAUAAAAUUGAAUCUUUUACUAAAUAUCUUGAAUCAUGUCUUCGAAGUAUCACUGCAGAUGAUUCCAAACGUAUCAUUAAUCAAAUAUUAAAACUUAUUGCAGAGGCAGAUGUUUAAAAUAAUUUUAAAAAU